CCAGAGGGCAGUAACCCUUUCUUAUAGUUACAACCCAAUUAGCUGCAUGAGGGCCUUGAAAAGCACAGAAUGACUUCCUUUAAGGAAAAACACAGUGCUAUUUUAGGAAACUUGAACAGUGUGAUGGCCACAGAAAAUACCAUGAUUUUAAGGUUUGUUCUUUCAGAUACAUCCUACGGGCUCACUGAGAGGACAAAAAUGUCAGGGAAAUAAAAAAGGCACGGUAAAAAAGUAAAGAAAGGUGGAGAACAGAAAUUGAAGCACUGAAAGAAGAUUGGAUCUGGCAACUGCGACUUUAUGUUGGGGGAGGAAGAAACAGGUGGAGGGAGGUCUAAAGAGGUGAUGUGGUAGCUCCUCGCUGGCCGGGGUGGAAAGGAGACUGGACUGCCACAGAUAUAGGUGACAACUAAUGGGUUCAAGGCUCCAUGCUCCACAGUGGGGAAGGAAGUUGGGGAUAAGAGGGAAGCAGACUGAGGAAAGAACAGGUAAAGGUAGUAUAAAAACAAAAAGAACAUCAAUUAGUUGGAACAUGUUUGAAGAGCUUUGAUCGGCUUUUGGAGAACCUCAGUAGCAAAAUGCAAGAUACGUGUUUUGGGUAAAAUAUCUGGAUAUAGAACCAAGAGGAAUAGUGUCUGAUUCCAUUGGUAUACAACACCUGCUUUAUACUCAUCACACACAGUUCAGUCAUGGUGGUGGUUUCAGACUGACAUACUCAAGACAUGCUGGUCUGCCCGUUCCUCUGGUAACCAAAUUUUGGCUACCUCAUUGCUCAUUAGGCUUUGAAUCAGGGCCUGAUCGGGGGAAAUAAAAGAAGGAAAAAACUUGAACCAGUUCAUUUGUGAGCAGCUCCAGUUAAAAGAUUGAUGGGGAGGAGAUUGGAACUAUCACGAAGUUUGGUUAUUAUCUGUGAGUUUCAAUGACAUUUGGCAUCUUGGCUCCCAGGAGAAGUGAUCAUUGAGAGCCAGCUGUAGAAACGGCAAUUAUAGGAUGAGGAGGGUAUCAGCAUUUUGAAGGGCAGUUUUUUAUUGGCAGAUAGGUUUGGUUUUAAGAAGCCAGUUGGCAGGGUUGUGUGUCUCCUGACAUUCAUCUAUCAGAAGAUGCAACGCAAAAUAGGCCAUUUGCACUUCCACGUCAGAACCACCAGGAUAACUCGGAGACCCCUUUCAGAUGAUGAAAACAGUGGGAAGCUCAAGAUGAGAAGAGUACCGGGCAAAUGUAAGAGUCCAGAUAAGUCCCACUGGGCAGGGAGAACCAAGCUUCAGCAAUUUGAAAACUCCAUGAGGCAAGGAGUAUGCCUUACGUAGAGAUGGAAAAAGUCCUUAUUCUAGGGACUGAGAAGGGGAUUUUCCAGUGUCUCAAAACACAAGAACCAAGGUCUGAUGCCUUCAAUCUAUGUAAAAAUCUGUGUAAUGAUUUACUAUUAUGGAAAGAUAGUUGGGAUAAGUUGUUCUAUGUGAAGAAAGCAGCUUAUAAAACAGUAUAUUAAAUAAUUCGGCUUUUGUAAACAAUAUUAUAGGUGAAAAAAGACACUUGGGAAGAAAUAAAAUACAAAUAGUGAUUAUA